rnacentral:rRNA from 1 species
GACGAACGCUGGCGGCGUGCUUAACACAUGCAAGUCGAACGGGAAGGCCCUGCUUUUGUGGGGUGCUCGAGUGGCGAACGGGUGAGUAACACGUGAGUAACCUGCCCUUGACUUUGGGAUAACUUCAGGAAACUGGGGCUAAUACCGGAUAGGAGCUCCUGCUGCAUGGUGGGGGUUGGAAAGUUUCGGCGGUUGGGGAUGGACUCGCGGCUUAUCAGCUUGUUGGUGGGGUAGUGGCUUACCAAGGCUUUGACGGGUAGCCGGCCUGAGAGGGUGACCGGCCACAUUGGGCCUGAGAUACGGCCCAGACUCCUACGGGAGGCAGCAGUGGGGAAUAUUGCACAAUGGGCGGAAGCCUGAUGCAGCAACGCCGCGUGCGGGAUGACGGCCUUCGGGUGGUAAACCGCUUUCGCCUGUGACGAAGCGUGAGUGACGGUAAUGGGUAAAGAAGCACCGGCUAACUACGU